rnacentral:rRNA from 1 species
UACGUAGGGGGCAAGCGUUAUCCGGAUUUACUGGGUGUAAAGGGAGCGUAGACGGCAGUGCAAGUCUGGAGUGAAAGGCGGGGGCUCAACCCCCGGACUGCUCUGGAAACCGUACGGCUGGAGUGCAGGAGAGGUAAGUGGAAUUCCUAGUGUAGCGGUGAAAUGCGUAGAUAUUAGGAGGAACACCAGUGGCGAAGGCGGCUUACUGGACUGUAACUGACGUUGAGGCUCGAAAGCGUGGGGAGCAAACAGG